rnacentral:rRNA from 1 species
GUCUCCUACGGGAGGCAGCAGUGGGGAAUAUUGCACAAUGGGGGAAACCCUGAUGCAGCGACGCCGCGUGAGUGAAGAAGUAUUUCGGUAUGUAAAGCUCUGUCAGCAGGGAAGAAAAUGACGGUACCUGACCAAGAAGCCCCGGUUAACUACGGGCCAGCAGCCGCGGUAAUACGUAGGGGGCAAGCGUUAUCCGGAUUUACUGGGUGUAAAGGGAGCGUAGACGGCAGGGCAAGUCUGGAGUGAAAGGCGGGGGAUCAACCCCCGGAAUGCUCUGGAAACUGCCAGGCUGGAGGGCAGGAGAG